GACGAACGCUGGCGGCGUGCCUAAUACAUGCAAGUCGAGCGGACCAAACAGGAGCUUGCUCUUGUUUGGUUAGCGGCGGACGGGUGAGUAACACGUGGGUAACCUGCCCGUAAGACCGGGAUAACUCCGGGAAACCGGAGCUAAUACCGGAUAACACCGAAGACCGCAUGGUCUUUGGUUGAAAGGCGGCUUCGGCUGCCACUUACGGAUGGGCCCGCGGCGCAUUAGCUAGUUGGUGAGGUAACGGCUCACCAAGGCGACGAUGCGUAGCCGGCCUGAGAGGGUGACCGGCCACACUGGGACUGAGACACGGCCCAGACUCCUACGGGAGGCAGCAGUAGGGAAUCUUCCGCAAGGGACGAAAGUCUGACGGAGCGACGCCGCGUGAGCGAAGAAGGUCUUCGGAUCGUAAAGCUCUGUUGUUAGGGAAGAAGAAGCGCCGUUCGAACAGGGCGGCGCGGUGACGGUACCUAACGAGAAAGCCCCGGCUAACUACGUG
rnacentral:rRNA from 1 species